rnacentral:rRNA from 1 species
UACGGAGGGUGCAAGCGUUAUCCGGAUUCACUGGGUUUAAAGGGUGCGUAGGUGGGUUGGUAAGUCAGUGGUGAAAUCCCCGAGCUUAACUUGGGAACUGCCAUUGAUACUAUCAGUCUUGAAUACCGUGGAGGUCAGCGGAAUAUGUCAUGUAGCGGUGAAAUGCUUAGAUAUGACAUAGAACACCAAUUGCGAAGGCAGCUUACUACGCAUAUAUUGACGCUGAGGCACGAAAGCGUGGGGAUCAAACAGG